AGUUAGUCGUGCACAUGGAAUAUUACACGAUAUACUUGACUAUAGAACUGAUAGAAUGCAGAUUACAAAACAAAAUAGAAGAACAAUCAAUUGAGUGGGAAGACCCUGGGACCGGUCCAGCACUCGAAAGCACAUUGACAGAAGGAAAGGAUCAUAAAAAAGUCUGAAAUUUGCACUGUGAGGAUUCAUGCUGUGUGAUCGAAGCAGUAAGCAAGAAUAUAAAUUGACUGAUGGAUGGUGCUUUAUCUCAAAAAUCAGAAUUAGCUUACACCAUAUCAAUGGAAAUUUUUGGUGGAGCAACUAAAACUGUCAGCAAAAAAAGAAAUGUGCACUACUGACGGGGCUCCCCUCAAAAACGGAAAUCUACUACUACUCUCUGAAACAUCCGGAGACAAAAGAAUGCAGUAGAUCAGUCAAAAUUUCAUAAAUUAUUUUACACACUGGAAAUCUACAACAGGUGAUUAGCUCAAGGAUUUUGUAACAAAAUAAAUGCUAUACAGCUACAUGCAACACAUUUUGUACUCAUAUUUAAAAAACAACAACAUUUCAUUGCUUCUCCAGCGUAUGAAGGGCUUCAGAUACUGGUACCUUCAACAUGUGG